UAUAGACUCUAGAAUCUCUAAUCUACUUUUUUUUUUUUCAGUCUGUGGUCUUGCAGCUCUUUGAUAGAAAUCUGAGUGAGAAAUCAUUCAGCCAUCGGAAUCACAGUUAGAUCUUUCUGAUAAGUGACAGUACUUAAAGUGAUCAUAAUUAUUAAUUAUUUACCUAAUUAUUAAUUAUAGACUACUUUUAAUUAUAGAUCUACCUAUUUAGUGUUAAGUAAUUAAAUCUAGAUCUAGUUCUAACUUACCUCUUCUCUAAACAAUAGUAACUUUUUACUAGACUCACAAUUUUAAAAACAAAUGGUUUUUUUUUGUGUGAAAUAAACCUAGUAGGCCUAGUCUAUUUAUUUUAAAAUAAACCUUAUGCCUAGAUAUCUAUAUCUAAAUUUUCCAAAUGCAUUUUCAGAAGUUCGAAUGAGGAGAUGGAGAUGGCUGGGCCAUGUCCUACGCAUGAGCAAAAGAUGACUCCCCCAACAUGGCACUGGAAAACGAAAGAGGGGAAGACCACUGGGAACAUGGAGGAGAGAGAUGGAAGAAGAAGUGCAAGCUGCUGGCAAGACUUGGCAUGAACUAAAGUGGCUCGCCCAGGACAGAGUGGAAUGGCAGGGAUUUGUUGCUGCCCUAUACUCCACAGGGAGUGAUGAGGAUUAAAGAAAGCAGACACAGAUCCAGUGUUGGAAGAGGAAGUAUUUUACAUAAAAGAAAAAAAAACAACAGAUGUCAAAGCAGGUAUUGGCUGGUGCAGAAACAGCAUGAAAGGAUUUUUUUAUCUUUCCUGGACUGAUGACUUUCAUUCAACCUGAUCAUUUUUUAAUUUGCAUCAACUAAAACAUGUUAUAUAAAUCACUUUGUUGUACUCACACCUUAAACCCAUUAUUACUUUGUACUUUUCAUUGAUAAUUGAAAUUUAUAUAAUUGCAUCUAAAUCUAAUAAAUAAAUAUUUUUUGGAAAGCAAACCAUUUUGGUUCUUUUUAUUUUUAUCUUUUGUUUUAAUUUGAAACCAGGUCUUGUAUAAGAAAUUAUACUGGUGGAUCUGUCAGAGUAACACCAUGUUUGCACUUACCACAUGAAUACUAUACAUGUCUAGAAAAAAACAACUUGCAAUGAGUAAGCCUUCAUAUACAUGU